CAGUAGCCGCGGGAACACGUAGGGUGCGAGCGUUAAUCGGAAUUACUGGGCGUAAAGCGUGCGCAGGCGGUUUUGUAAGACAGGCGUGAAAUCCCCGGGCUCAACCUGGGAAUGGCGCUUGUGACUGCAAGGCUAGAGUGCGGCAGAGGGGGAUGGAAUUCCGCGUGUAGCAGUGAAAUGCGUAGAUAUGCGGAGGAACACCGAUGGCGAAGGCAAUCCCCUGGGCCUGCACUGACGCUCAUGCACGAAAGCGUGGGGAGCAAACAGGAUUAGAUACCCGCGUAGUCACUGUCUCUUAUAA
rnacentral:rRNA from 1 species